GUCUAUCGCGCGUGGGUACAGGGCCGUUUCUGAGAUUUUGUGGUCUAGGACGAACCUGCAAUUUGGGUUCUAACAAAUAAAUAUAUAUAAACAUCAAACCUGAUACAAAAAAAACUAAACAAUUUUUUAGUGCCUAUUAGACCCCUAAAAAGAAAUUUUGGGGCCCAAAUUCUGUACUUAUUUUUUGGAACCUAGGACGGUCGCCCUCUUCGCCCUGCCUCAGAUACGGCCCUGCGUGGGUAGCAUGCAGGUUAGUGAUAUGUUUUGCUUUGUACUAUUCACACGUGUUUUAUUGCUAGCUCUUUGUUGUGUUCCUUUGAGAUGUAGCAUGCAGAACUACUAAUUGAAACGGUCAUAUAGAAACCGCCCACCUCCAUGUAUCAAAAGUGAACACUGAUGGCUCCUUCUUGAUCGUUAAUGCCUUGUGAGGAUAUUUUUUGAUAUCAUAGUGGGGCAUUUUUGGACUGAUUCUUGUCCAAUUUAAGUGAUUACUCGGUUCUCAAAUCAGAGUUGUUAUGUAAAAAGACAAAAUUUUCUCAAAGUGCUUAAAAUUUA
rnacentral:lncRNA from 1 species